rnacentral:tRNA from 1 species
GGAGGCGUGCCAGAGUGGUCGAAUGGGGCGGUCUCGAAAACCGCUAUACCAGCAAUGGUAUCGGAGGUUCGAAUCCUCCCGCCUCCGCCA